rnacentral:rRNA from 1 species
UACAGAGGUCCCAAGCGUUGUUCGGAUUCACUGGGCGUAAAGGGUGCGUAGGCGGUCGGGUAAGUCUGACGUGAAAUCUUCAAGCUUAACUUGGAAACUGCGUCGGAUACUAUUCGGCUGGAGGAAUGGAGGGGAGACUGGAAUACUUGGUGUAGCAGUGAAAUGCGUAGAUAUCAAAGUGGAACACCAGUGGCGAAGGCGAGUCUCUGGACAUUUCCUGACGCUGAGGCACGAAAGCCAGGGGGAGGCAAACGG